AGGGCGAACGCUGGCGGCGUGCUUAACACAUGCAAGUCGAACGGGAGUAUUGAAGAAGCUUGCUUAGAGAUACUUUAGUGGCGGACGGGUGAGUAACGCGUGAGGAGCUGUCCUAUGCAGGGGGACAACAGCUGGAAACGGCUGCUAAUACCCCAUAAGCCGAGAGGUAAAAGGAUCAAUCCGGCAGAGGAGGUACUCGCGUCCUAUCAGCUAGUAGGUGAGGUAACGGCUCACCUAGGCGAAGACGGGUAGCCGGCCUGAGAGGGCGAACGGCCACACUGGAACUGAGAUACGGUCCAGACUCCUACGGGAGGCAGCAGUGGGGAAUAUUGGGCAAUGGGGGGAAACCCUGACCCAGCGACGCCGCGUGGGUGAAGAAAUCCUUCGGGAUGUAAAGCCCUGUUGUAUGGGAAGAGCGGAAGACGGUACCAUACGAGGAAGCCCCGGCAAACUACGUGCCAGCCGCCGC
rnacentral:rRNA from 1 species